GAUGAACGCUGGCGGCGUGCCUAAUACAUGCAAGUCGAGCGAACAGACGAGGAGCUUGCUCCUCUGACGUUAGCGGCGGACGGGUGAGUAACACGUGGAUAACCUACCUAUAAGACUGGGAUAACUUCGGGAAACCGGAUCUAAUACCGGAUAAUAUAUUGAACCGCAUGGUUCAAUAGUGAAAGACGGUUUUGCUGUCACUUAUAGAUGGAUCCGCGCCGCAUUAGCUAGUUGGUAAGGUAACGGCUUACCAAGGCAACGAUGCGUAGCCGACCUGAGAGGGUGAUCGGCCACACUGGAACUGAGACAAGGUCCAGACUCCUACGGGAGGCAGCAGUAGGGAAUCUUCCGCAAUGGGCGAAAGCUUGACGGAGCAACGCCGCGUGAGUGAUGAAGGUCUUCGGAUCGUAAAACUCUGUUAUUAGGGAAGAACAAAUGUGUAAGUAACUAUGCACGUCUUGACGGUACCUAAUCAGAAAGCCACGGCUAACUACGUG
rnacentral:rRNA from 1 species